AACGAACGCUGGCGGCAGGCUUAACACAUGCAAGUCGAACGCCCCGCAAGGGGAGUGGCAGACGGGUGAGUAACGCGUGGGAACAUACCCUUUUCUACGGAAUAGCUCUGGGAAACUGGAAUUAAUACCGUAUACGCCCUACGGGGGAAAGAUUUAUCGGGGAAGGAUUGGCCCGCGUUGGAUUAGCUAGUUGGUGGGGUAAAGGCCUACCAAGGCGACGAUCCAUAGCUGGUCUGAGAGGAUGAUCAGCCACAUUGGGACUGGGACACGGCCCAAACUCCUACGGGAGGCAGCAGUGGGGAAUAUUGGACAAUGGGCGCAAGCCUGAUCCAGCCAUGCCGCGUGAGUGAUGAAGGCCUUAGGGUUGUAAAGCUCUUUCAACGAUGAAGAUAAUGACGGUAGUAGGAGAAGAAGCCCCGGCUAACUUCGUG
rnacentral:rRNA from 1 species